GAGCUUAAAGUGAGGCACAGACGUCCGGGGGGAAGGGAAACAGUAUGCUUGUUAUUGUAAUUUUUUUUGUCAUAUUCGGCUAAGAUGGUCCCAGUGAAAGCUCAGAUUUACCGGGCUGCAGCUGCUCUGUGGAUCUCAGCGUGACGAUGUUUGAUGCUUGUGUUGCAGAUCGAGGAGAGCUCUUUGUUUGGGGGAAGAAUGUGAGAGGAUGUUUGGGCAUCGGGAAGAGAGACGACCAGUUCUUCCCGUGGAGAGUGACUGUACCUGGUCAGGUGGUGGACGUAGUGUGUGGUGUUGAUCACAUGGUGGCGCUGGUGAAGUCCCUCCUGUGAGCUCCUGGAUGAAAGGUUUGGAUUUUUGACCCCCCGCGGGGCCCCUCAGGGAGCCGAUCGGGGGCCACGCUGGAGUCUUGAAGCCAGCUGCUCUCCACAGGCGACGAACCCUCGUGUCCCCGUGACGUCAAACGAGUUCACGGCGGUCGAUUCUGCAGCAAACUGUCACCGACACGACUCUCUUUACCCUGCAUGAAGGUCAUCUGGGAAACGCUUCAAAGGAGAGUUUUGUUUUAUUUCAACUGGAGCUGAAACGAUGAAUCGAUUCAGCCAAGCAAAACAGAGAAAGAAUGUGAACAAUUCUGCCAUAACAGCAUGUGAGGAUUCACUGCUUUUUCUCUGUGUUGUGUGAUUGUAAACUGAACAUCUUAAGGUUGAUUCGACAAAGCAAGACCUUUGAAGGAGACUGGGAUUGGAAUUGUUCUGUAUUUUCUGACAUUUUAUUGAUUUAACGAUGCAACUUGACUUAUGUUGUGCCGUUCUCCCAGUCUGGAUGUUUCAGAAAAUGAACCCACUAUUCGUGAUAGUUUGCCAUUAAAAAAACAACAAUGCAGAAAAUAUCCAUCCAUCCAUCCAUCCAUCUUCUCCCGCUUAUCCGUGGUCGGGUCGCGGGGGUAGCAGUUUCAGCGGAGAGCCCCAAACUUUCCUUGCAAUGCAGAAAAUAUGCUAUAUCAAAAAUAAAUAUGUUGUUUUUUUACCAGCAUCAAUUUUGCUUUAAUAAAUGGUGAAGCAGAAUCACAACUGCCCUUUUUCCUAUUUUCUGUACAGGCAUUUUUGACAGAUCUGAAGCUGAUCGACAUGGUAACCUUGACAUGUAGUGAUUUUAACAACGGACAUAAAGUGUUAAAUGUUGUUUUCCCAGUCUGGAUGUUCCAGAAAAUGAACCCACUUUUCCUACAGUGAUGGUUUGCCAUACAAUAUGCAAUGGAGAAAUCCCAUUGCUAUGCUAUAUCAAAAAUAAAUGUGUCUAGACUCUA